ensembl:lncRNA
AAUAUUGAUAUAUGGCAUCUUAGCAGAUACCAGACGGGGAGUAUUCCGCUCUUAAUUUUACUGCAAUAUAGGCGCUCUUUGUAGUGAGCUAAUUUUAUUUUGAAAUUCGUUUUAUUUUGAAAACCAGUUUUGGGAAGUGACAGGAAGUCAGCCAUGUUUGUUUUUGUUCUUAGCAGUUCACAUGUGGGGAAAUUUGAUCCAGCGACAUCUGCCUUUUCUUUGUGCCGUCGACACCACCGUCUGUGUUUUUGGGCCUGUGUGAUAGACCCUGAAGCAGUUCCUGGAGUACCUGGAGACAGAGACCCACAUUGCACUGCUCACACUGCCAGGGAGUUUUUCUUUUGCACAGAGUGCACUUUCACCUUCCUUGGGUGGCCAUGUUUGCCUUUGACUGUCCUUCCCUGCUGCUUGUGGGGACAGCAAAAUGGUUGGAGCUGUGUGCUGGUGGGCAUCCCGAUUUCAGAGAAACACCAAGGAGAUGAGCACAUAAGUCUUCCUGGAACUCCUGGCGACUCUGCUACUUCUGCUGCUGUUUGGCACAUAAUUCUUUAUGAAUUAUAUAGCUGUUGGUCACACCAAUGUCCAGGAAAUGCUGGAAAACCGUAAUGUGCACUGUAAAAAAAAUAGUAAUAUCAAAGUAUUUUACUGUGUAUUUUACAGUUUUGUACUGUUUUUCCACAAUAUCAUUAAAUUUACAUAAAUAGACUGUGGUUUUACAUGUCAAAUGUAAAAUAACAUAAAAUCACUGUAAAUGUAAUAAAACAUAAUUUCCUUGUUUUUUAAAUAUAUCUUUCUGUACAUAUGCAUAUUUAGAUUGUGAAAAUACAUUGCACCUGGGGUGAGGGCGCGGUCAUGAAAACAAUGUGACAUGCCAUUGGAUGUUUGGACACAUAACGACAUGACCAUAAACAUUGGCCAAUGAAUUAGAACUGACAACCACAAGGUCGUGGGUAUGGCUGUGGAAAGCGCGGUGGAAGAGAGAGAUUGAAAGAUCAUCCACGCAGUGCUGCAAGGCAAGUAUAUCAAACUCGGCUCAGUAGAAUUAACUUGGCAUUGCUUGACCACUAUGGCUCGUAGUUUACUGAGACGGUAAAAGGCAUGGAAUCCCUAGCUAUGAAGGAAAAGCACGUUGUCUGUCAGUUUAAGGUGCAGGUAGCGGCUGGUCUGUAUACUAUCUUGCUGGCUAGCAGAGUUGUUUUUCGCUAAUUUGUUAGCUGCACGCUUUAUGUGACCGUGUAAACACAGCAGUUGCUACGCAAAUAGUUUCUACACCGCUAAUACGCGUUAGGCGGCCCGCGCCGAAAGCUGCCACUGAUGCAUUUGUCUCAAUGUGAAAUUAAGUGUGCAACAUAAGACCUAAUAGGCGAGCUGUUCCACUCCAGCAACACACCUGCACUCCUAUAGAGAGCUCGUGUGCGCCAAGAUGUGCUGCGUGAUGAAGUGAGAGAAAUAGGAAGUAGAAGUAGCCCACUGUGCUAGCUUUGCCCUGUAAAAUGUAAUGGACAUGUAAAGGAUAAGCCAAGUAUUUCCUUUUAUUUUGUGGAGAGGAAGUAGGUAGGCUAAAGCACCUGAGGCGAAUUAUUAGACUACAUAUAUUGCAUACAUGCAGCAUACAGUGUGUGAAUGUGUGUGUGUGUGUGAAUGACUGAAUGUAGUGUAAAGCGCUUUGGGGUCCUUAGGGACUAAGUAAAGCGCUGUACAAAUACAGGCCUUUUUUUUUUUUUUUACCAUUUACAUGUAUUUUGAUUUUGGCAGGUUUCAUGAUUCAUAAGGUUUUUUCUUCUGUCUCUGCAGAUUAGUGGCGUGUAUUCUCAGAUUUACUCAGUAAGUUGUAAAGGUGAGUAUUGUGCUGCAUUUAAGGAUGUCAAAACAUUACACCUGUCGCAGUUGUGGUGCUUCAAUGAGAACCCUAAAAGGGUAUGGUCAGCAUCAAGGGCUCCAUAAAAAUGAGCCACAUUAUCAGUUUGUGUGUUGUAUAAAAGGUUGCAAGUUUCAGUUCAGAAAUUAAAAUUCUUUUAAAUGUCAUGUUUACCGCCAUCAUCAACGGUCAUCUGCUGUGUCACAAUGUCCGACUUUGCAAGGACCCUUUAUAUGUGAACAACCUCAUUGUCAGAAACAGUUGAUUGAUCUGAAAGACCUAUUCUGCCAUCUAAAAUCUCACAUUGCAAGAAGAGAGGAAGUGCGUUGCCGUUUUAAAAACUGUGAAAAAACUUUUUCAGUGGUGUCGUCUUUCACAGCCCACUUAUCUAGAAAUCACAAACACUCUACAGCUGUCCAUGUCUGUGGUUCAUACUGUUUUCCCUCAGUUCCUAGUGAAGUUCAGUCCCCUGUUGCUGAAAGCCAGUUAGAUGAAGGGUCACAGGAUGAUGUCCCUGAGGAGGAGGAUGUACUAGACAUUGCACAAAUGAAAAGUUUGUACAUGAAGUAUCUGUGCAUGUUUUACAUGAAAUUGCAGGCAAAACCUCAUCCCUUCCUCUACAAUACAGCUGAUAAUAGAAGAAAUGAAUAGUCUUAAUGGGAUGUGCCUGCAAUACACCAAUAAUCAACUUAAAACAUUGUUACAAACAAGAACCGAACUAUCUGAGACAAAAAUGAAAGAUGUGUUCAAGACCCUAGAUGAGAUAGAUAUCCAUGCAUCCUGCAGCUCAG